UACGUAGGGUGCGAGCGUUAAGCGGAAUUACUGGGCGUAAAGCGUGCGAAGGCGGUUCGCUAAGACCGAUGUGAAAUCCCCGGGCUUAACCUGGGAACUGCAUUGGUGACUGGCGGGCUAGAGUAUGGCAGAGGGGGGUAGAAUUCCACGUGUAGCAGUGAAAUGCGUAGAGAUGUGGAGGAAUACCGAUGGCGAAGGCAGCCCCCUGGGCCAAUACUGACGCUCAUGCACGAAAGCGUGGGGAGCAAACAGG
rnacentral:rRNA from 1 species